UGUAUAUUUCCACCCAUCCCCAACCUCCUCACUAAUCUUUUCUUCCAGGAAUUGUUGUGGCCGCGCGCAAGGCGGUCGGUAGAGUCAGUGUUUGUACGAACAUACCUUCAAUGUUUUGAUUUUGUCUAGGGUGAACUGACCCUGAAUAGAGUUGCGUUUGUACAAUUAGGAAUCACGCGAAAGUAGAGUCAGUGUUUGCUGCGUAUUAUAAAAUAUUUUCUAGAGUAUCGCGGCUCUGCUUUUUCCUUUUUCAUCGUGAAAGUAGAGUCACUACAAUUGUUCGCCGGAAAUUAUUCACGGGCGCGUUACUAGUAUUUCAUAUCUUUAUUUUUAUUUUUAAUUUUGUUUUUUAAUUGCUCGAUAUAUCCGGUAUUAGAGUCAGUGCACCACUGAAGAGGAGUCUUGGGCGUUGCUCCAUGAGGAAAGAGUAUGACUUUUUUUAUUUUGCCGAGUUCCUGGAUAUCCUGAUGAUGGCUUUCUUCACGACUUCCGUCUUGAUGAAUCUUCUACAACGCAGCCUCCUACCUGGUGUUGUCCAUCCUCCUACUUGACUGUCGGAAGAAGAGUAUAUCUGCGAACGGUGAGUC